rnacentral:snoRNA from 1 species
AAUUAUUGAUGAUAUUACUUGUCAUGGUUUCGCAUUUGAAUGAUUUUAAAAAUGAUUCAACUUUUCUCUUGGCUGUCUGAAAUU